rnacentral:rRNA from 1 species
UAGGGAAUUUUCGUCAAUGGGGGCAACCCUGAACGAGCAAUGCCGCGUGAGCGAAGAAGGUCUUCGGAUUGUAAAGCUCUGUUGCCGGGGAAAAGGAAGGAAAGAGGAAAUGCUUUUCUUUGGAUGGUACCCGG